UACGUAGGGUGCGAGCGUUAAUCGGAAUUACUGGGCGUAAAGGGCGCGCAGGCGGCCCUCCAAGUCAGGCGUGAAAGCCCCGGGCUCAACCCGGGAACAGCGCUUGAGACUGGGGGGCUUGAGUUCGGGAGAGGAGAGUGGAAUUCCCAGUGUAGAGGUGAAAUUCGUAGAUAUUGGGAAGAACACCGGUGGCGAAGGCGGCUCUCUGGACCGACACUGACGCUGAGGCGCGAAAGCGUGGGGAGCAAACAGG
rnacentral:rRNA from 1 species